rnacentral:rRNA from 1 species
GAUGAACGCUGGCGGCGUGCCUAAUACAUGCAAGUCGAGCGAACAGACGAGGAGCUUGCUCCUUUGACGUUAGCGGCGGACGGGUGAGUAACACGUGGGUAACCUACCUAUAAGACUGGGAUAACUUCGGGAAACCGGAGCUAAUACCGGAUAAUAUUUCGAACCGCAUGGUUCGAUAGUGAAAGAUGGCUUUGCUAUCACUUAUAGAUGGACCUGCGCCGUAUUAGCUAGUUGGUAAGGUAACGGCUUACCAAGGCAACGAUACGUAGCCGACCUGAGAGGGUGGUCGGCCAGACUGGAACGGAGACACGGUCCAGACUCCUACGGGAGGCAGCAGUAGGGAAUCUUCCGCAAUGGGCGAAAGCCUGACGGAGCAACGCCGCGUGAGUGAUGAAGGUCUUCGGAUCGUAAAACUCUGUUAUUAGGGAAGAACAAACGUGUAAGUAACUGUGCACGUCUUGACGGUACCUAAUCAGAAAGCCACGGCUAACUACGUG